rnacentral:tRNA from 1 species
GUCUCAGUGGUCUAAUGGUGAGGACACACGACUGAAGUUCGUGUAACCCAAGUUCGAUUCUUGGCUGAGACA